rnacentral:rRNA from 1 species
UGGGAACAUACCUUUUGGUUCGGAACAACACAGGGAAACUUGUGCUAAUACCGGAUAAGCCCUUACGGGGAAAGAUUUAUCGCCGAAAGAUUGGCCCGCGUCUGAUUAGCUAGUUGGUGAGGUAAUGGCUCACCAAGGCGACGAUCAGUAGCUGGUCUGAGAGGAUGAUCAGCCACAUUGGGACUGAGACACGGCCCAAACUCCGUACGGGAGGCAG